rnacentral:lncRNA from 1 species
GGGUCAUCCAAGAAAGCAGAAAGAGGAAAAGAAAAAUGAGGCACCCGCGGAUAGGAUGGAGCAUCUAGGCUCUUUUCACAGCCACUAUUCCUUAUUUCUUGCUGGAGUAUUGGCACCUUUAAAAGCCUUGGCUGUCCUUCCCAACCUCCCCACUCAAUCACAAACCACAGUGCCUAGAAGAAAAGCAAGGGAGGAAAAAAAAAAAAUCAAUGCGCUAAAUCUUCCCUGGGCUCAGUAGCAACUCCUGCAGCAGCUUCCAUCUCUGGCCACAGAACUGAGCUCUCCAGCCUUCCAAACUUGCAGGUUAAAAAUAUGCCUCUCUCAGAGUUCCCGUUUUGGCUCAGUGGUUAACGAAUCUGACUAGGAACUGUGAGGUUGUGGGUUCGAUCCCUGGCCUCCCUCAGUGGGUUAAGGAUCCAGUGUUGCUGUGAGCUGGGGUGUAGGUCACAGCCCCAUGGGAUCCAAGCUGAGUCUGCAACCUACACCACAGCCACGCCGGAUCCCUGACCCACUGAGUGAGGCCUGGGACUGUGGAUCCGUUUCCCCUGAGUCAUGGCAGGAACUCCUGUUACAGCGAUCUUAUUUGUCCUUUCUCGUACUUGCCACAAUUUUGAAAUUUUAUUUGUAUGAUUUAUUUCUCCCUUCAACUUUAUUGCAUGCCUAGCGUAUGUCUGUAUUAGUUUGCUAGGGCUGUCAUAAGAAAACGCCACAGGCUGGGUGGCUUCAGCAACUGAAACAUCUUCUCUCAGUUCUGAAAGCUGGGAAUCAGAAAUUAAGUUGCUGGCAGGUCUGGUUUCUCCCAAGGCCACCUUCUUGCCAUGUCCUCACGUGGUCUUUGUGUGUGGAUACAUCUCUGUUCUCAUCUCCUCUUCUUAUACAGACGCCAGUCUUCUUGGAUAAGGGCCCCACCCUUGUGGCCUCAUUUAGCCUUAAGUGCCUAUUUAAACACCUGCUAUGGACUGAAUGUCUUUGUUCCCCCAAACCCUUAUGUUGAAAUCUAAUUCCCAUUGCGAUGGUAUUGGGGGGCUGGGGCUUUGAGGAAGGUACUAGAUCAUGAUGGUAGAGCCAUCGUGAAUGGCAUUCAUGCCCUUAUAAGAAGAGAUGACAGAGCUGGCUGGUUCUCUUUUUUGCCACGUGAGGCUGCAGUGAGCAUUGGCAAUCUGCAACCAGGGAGGGCUCUCUUUCUCUCCCAGGGAGAACCCAGCUGUCCUGGCACCCUGAUCUCAGACUUCCAGCCUCCAGAUCUGGGAGAGAUAAAUGUCUAGCCGUUCACAAGCCACCCAGUCCAUGGCAUUUUAUUAUAGCAGCCUGAGCCCCACCAAGGCCUUCUCUUCAUGUUCAAUCCCUCUGGGGGUUAGGGUUUGUGUAAAUUUGGGGGGCUCACAGUGCAGCCCCACCACGGUGCCCCACACUGAAUACAUACUGAUGAGCAAGACAGAGAGGGUCCCUGUCCUCAAGGAGCCUACAGUGUGGGUGGGAUGGUGAGUAAGUGGACUUGAUAAUACACAAGAACACUAAGGGAAGAAUAUGUGGUAACAGAUGAUCAGAAGUACUCAGAGGAGGAGUUCCCACUUUCUGGCACAGCAGAAAGGAAUCCAACUAAUAUCCAUGAGGAUGUGGGUUCCAUCCCUGGCCUCCUGUCGUGGGUCAGGGAUCCUGUGUUGCUGUGAGCUGUGGUGUUGGUUGCAGACACGGCUUGGAUUCCAAGUGGCUGUGGCUGUGGUGUAGGCUGGCAGCUGUAGCUCUGAUUCAACCUCUCACUGGGAACUUUCAUAUGCAGCCCUAAAAAACAAAACAAAACAAAAAGAAGUACUCAAGGGAAAAGACAAGAGAGGAGAGCCCUAAAUGUAGGCUCAGGAGUGAGGCAAGGCCUCUUUGAGAAGAUGUUUUCAGGUUAAGACCUCAAGGCUAAGAAACAGCCAUGUCAAUGUCUUCCCCUGUGCUGUGCCCUCUGCCAGGGGCGGGCACUCAGGUGGGAAAGAGUUUGGUCCCUUUGAGAAGAAUGAAGGAAGCCGGGAUCAUGGGAAGGGAGUGAGUGACAUGGAGAAGUUCAAAAAGUAGGCAGAGGCAAGACUGCACGGAGCCUCGUGGCCCUGAUAAGGAUUUAGGUCAAUCUAAGGACAAUAGGAAAAAUUUUUAAAGAUUUUAACCAGAAUAGCUAUGGCAUGACUGCUGCUAUGGGAGAAUGGACUUUAUGGAGGUGACUAUAGAAGAAAGUGUUGAACUUCCAAUGAAUGCAUCCAUGGUGGGACGGUACCAGCUUAGAUCAGCAUGGUGGCGGGGGAGCCGGGGAGAAACUGGUCCAAGAGGAAACUCCAGAAUUCAGCUCUGAACACACAUGUUUGAGACCUUCAAGCAGAUGUGUCCAGCACUCAGUGAUACAAUCUAGGGGUUAAAAGGGUGAGGAAUAGGCUGGAGCUGGAUGGAUGGUGACUCCUUGGACCUCAGGGUCAAAGGGUCAAGUCAGCAUAUAAAGUCAAAGCAUACACAGAAGUUAUUUUUGAGGGAGUUUCCACUGUGAUGCAGUGGGUUAAGAACCUGAAAGCAGAUGCUCAGGUCAUUGCAGAGGCACAGGUUUAAUCCCCAGCUCAGAUGCAGCAGGUUAAGGAUACAGCGUGGCCACAGCUAUAGCUUGGAUUCAGUCCCUAGCCCAGGAAAUUCCAUAUGCCAUGGAUGCAGCCAAAAGAAAGGAUGGACACAAGGAAAGAAGGAAAAAAAUUACCUUCGAAAAAUUCUAACAUUUUCGUAUCUGCGCCUUUGGAAACUCAAAUGCCAGGGUCCACUUCUUUUGCUCUUUGCAUUGUGGCCACUAUUCCCUUUUCCCCUCACCCCCAGCAACAUCUUCUCUGGGUGAACAGAAACUUAAAUCUGGUUUGUGGAAAUAGGAAAAAGAGAAGAAGGUUUUUCCUUUGUCACGUGAGUGGAGUUGAAAUCACUGAUGACGUAAUACAGCUUUAGUGUAUAUGCUCGAGACUCAUCAGCAAAGACAUGGCUUAUAAAAUUAUGCUAAUGGAGUUCCCUGGUGGUUCAGCAGGUGAAGGAUCCAGCAUUGUCACUGCUGUGGCGUGGGUUCGAUCCCUGGGCCAGGAACUUCCAUGUGCUGUGAGGGUGGCCUAAAUAAAUACAUAAAUAAAAUUAUGGGAAUGAAUAAGGCCACCUAGGGUGAGCAUGCAGCAAAACGGGGGCUGCAUUAGUUCCCUAGGGCUUCCAAAACCAAGCACCACAAAUGAGUGACUUAAAACAACUGAAAUGUCUUCUUUCAUAGUUCUGGAGACUAGAAGUCAGAAAUCGAGGUGUUGGAGUUCCCCUUGUGGAGCAGCAGAAAUGAAUCAGAGUGGGAACCAUGAGGUUGCAGGUUCAAUCCCUGGCACUGGCAUUGCCAUGAGCUGUGGCAUAGGUUGCAAAUGCAGCUCAGAUCUGGCAUUGCUGUGGCUGUGGCGAAGGCCAGUGGCUACAGCUCUGAUUAGACCCCUAGCCUGGGAACCUCCAUAUGCCGCGGAUGUGGCCCUAAAAAGACAAAAAAUAAAUAAAUAAAUCAAAGUGUCGUUGGGGCCAUGCUCCCUCUGAAAACUGCUGGGCAGAAUCCUCCUUCUAGCUCCUGCUGUUUGCAGGCAAUCCUCAGCAGUCCCUGGCUUGUAGAUGUGUCACACGAAUACCCCCCUCUUCUGUUGUCCUGAGGCUUCCCCUGCUCACGUGUCCAUGUCUUCAUGGGGCGCUCCAUUUCCUCUGCAUCUCUCUCUCUUCUAAGUAAGAGGACAGCAGUCCUAUUAGAUUAAGGGCCACUCCCAUUCCAUUAUGACCUCGUCUUAACUAAUUAUAUCUCAUUUCCAAAACUCAUUUCCAAAACUCAUUCAUCCUGAGGGGGUUAGGACUUCAACACAUCUUUUGGGGGCAAAACUCAAGCCAUAACAAAGGUCUUGGGACAAGCUCUGAGACACACAGGUCAACAUCAGAGGUCAGGCGUGCUGGUCAAGGGUGAAAAGGCUAGCCUUGCAACACCUGUCUUUUCCACUGGGUCUGUGGUCCUGUUAACAGCCUAUCUUUCCCUUCAGAAUAUGAGACCCGGAGAGACAGGCGCUGGAGUUCCCGUUGUGGCUCAGCAGUAACAAACCCAACUAGCAUCCAUGAGGACGUGGGUUUGAUCCCUGACCUCGCUCAGUGGGUUAAGAAUCUAAAACUGCCGUGAGCUGUAGUGUAGGUCACAGAUGUUGUUUAGAUCCCACGUUGCUGUGACUGUGGUGUCGGCUGACAGCUGAAGCUUUGAUUCAACCCCUAAUUUGGGAACUUCCAUAUGCAGCCCUAAAAAGACACACACAAAAAGGGGGGACUCCCCCUUUCUUGUUCACCACUGUCCCCCAUCAACUGUCCAUGGGUAACAGGUGUGGAACUAAGUUAUUUUUGUCGUAACUUCCUAAACCACAGACUUCAUUUCUUACAGGAAAAAGUUCACAUUUCCAGAGAAAUUUUACCAGCAAUCUUUGCUUGCAUGCACUUCCUUUUCUGACCACAUCUGAGUUUAUUCAGGGUUUACUCACCUUCCUAAGGCUGGACAGUGCUUCAUGUGACAGGAACGGCCACCACCUAAGACUACACACACGAUGCCUCCGGUUCACCUCUUUGCCCUGGUCGUUUUAUGAACACUCCUGGUCUACUUCAGUCCUCUUGAAAAGACAUCUCUCCAGAGUACACGCCUUGGUGCGAUUAUUGUAAACUGCUCCCUAACCUCCGUGUGCAAAAACGGCCCCAUUUCUUUCGUUUUUUUUCUAAUUCAUUGCUCCAGUGUCUAAAUGACUUCUGAGCCAAAAGCAGGCGACUCUCUUGGGAAUUUUCCCUCCCCUCCCAAGGAUUCUGGAGGUUUAUGGUCCAAGAGGAGCCGGUAUGGUCUCCAUACCCAAGAGGAGAGAGGUUUUCUCAUCUGACUGGUACUGCAGUUGGCUCUCAUUACCACAGGGUGUCGCUGUGGCAGACUUGCUCUGAGCCCUCUGACCGAAGAUGCUGAUUUGCUCUGGAUGGAGCCUCCUAGAAGGCUCAGAUCCCAUUACAAGCUGUUGUGGGUCCUUAUGGAGAACAAUCCCAUACCCAUCGUGCUAUAGGUUAUAAAAGUGUUCGGAGUUCCCGUCGUGGCUCAGUGGUUCUGACUAGCAACCAUGAGGUUGUGGUUUCCAUCCCUGGCCUUGCUCAGCGGGUUAAGGAUCUGGCGUUGCCGUGAGCUGCGGUGUAGGUCGCAGACGCGGCUCGGAUCCCCCGUUAGUGUGGCUGUGGUGUAGGCUGGCUGCUACAGCUCCGAUUAUACCCAGCUGGGAACCUCCAUAUGCCGCGGGAGCAGCCCUAGAAAAGGCAAAAAGACAAAAAAAAAAAAAAAAAAAAAAAAAAAAAAAA